rnacentral:rRNA from 1 species
UACGUAGGGGGCAAGCGUUAUCCGGAAUUACUGGGUGUAAAGGGAGCGUAGACGGUGAUGUAAGUCUGGAGUGAAAGGCGGGGGCCCAACCCCCGGACUGCUCUGGAAACUAUAUGACUGGAGUGUCGGAGGGGUAAGCGGAAUUCCUGGUGUAGCGGUGAAAUGCGUAGAUAUCAGGAGGAACACCAGUGGCGAAGGCGGCUUACUGGACCGUAACUGACGUUGAGGCUCGAAAGCGUGGGGAGCAA